UACGUAGGGUGCAAGCGUUGUCCGGAAUUAUUGGGCGUAAAGGGCUCGUAGGCGGUCCAUCACGUCGGGAGUGAAAAGCUGGGGCUUAACCCCAGUCCUGCUUCCGAUACGGGUGGACUAGAGGUAGGCAGGGGAGAACGGAAUUCCUGGUGUAGCGGUGAAAUGCGCAGAUAUCGUAAGGAAGACCAGUGGCGAAGGCGGGUCUCUGGACAGUUCCUGACGCUGAGGCACGAAGGUCAGGGGAGCAAACGGG
rnacentral:rRNA from 1 species